UUGUGCCGUAAGCGGUGGGCGCGUGUGAGUGAGCGCAAGCAUGUGGGCAGUUUUGUGCGCGUUCACCUGCGUGUGGGGUUGAGCCCCACAGACACGUGUUCAAGGAGAACCAAGGAACCAAGAUGGAGCGGGGUUUGAAACUAGUUGGAGAAAUUGGUACGAAAAAGCGGAAGCCUUUUUCCCGUUUCUUCAGUUUCAAGACACGCAACUUGAUCCUUGACACAGGCCGCUUGCCUCGUGGGACUUGCUCUGCAGGACUCGAUCCCUGUCCGAUUCUCUCCUGGUUCUUCUUCGACCACCUCUAAUCGGCGUUCCUCCGGAGCGUCUCCUUCCUCCAGCAACCGGGGGUAAGAGUAUACGCGAGAUACCCGGUUGCAGGCCUCCGCACGCCGGCUGCAUGCGGAGAGGGAGACGGGAGAAGGGUGUCAACAUCAGAAACCUCUGAUGAGUUCUGCCAGAGACCUGAGAGGGACAAUUACCACAUUGAAGGUCUGCAGCUAUGGAAGAACUGGAAGUACCAGCAUUCAGCCUUGAGUCCAGCACCCCAGCCCUGCUCCAACACCGACACUGACACUAUGGGAAAAGCCUUCCACCAUCCCACUCUCCUUCCCAUGACUCCUGCUGAGAACUCAUGUGAUACACACACAUUACAGUUUUCAAAAUUACUCCUUCAUUUAAGCAGGGUAGUCACAUUGAGAUUGACAUCUCGUUUGCAAAGCUCAAACGUGGCACUACAAGUCUCAGGAGGUUGGGUGGGUGACUGAUUGCUCAAACCAAAGUGUCGAGUUUGAAAUCAAACUUCGAACAAUAUAGAAACACAAUAAUGUGAUUCAGAUGUACAAAUGCCGCAGCGUUAAUGGAUUCGUUCAACUGCUGAUCCGCAACUGCCAAAGCUUUAAUAAACCUUGAUUGCAUUUCCUGCUUUGCAGAAUCUGGAUUAAUGGCAUUACGAUUUUCCUUCAGUAAGCAUUUUGUCAUCUGAAAAUGACAAAUGCUAAAGGUAAAUUGAUUUUAUAUGGAGAUGGCUUUUAUUGAUCCCCUUUCGUGUAUGAGUAUCAUAAUUAUCAUAAUUAUAUCACCUCAGAUUCUUUGCUUCCUGGAUAGAAUCACAUGCACCACAGAUGCUCUAUAGAAACCAGAUGGUCAGCUCCUGCGUUCCGUCUAUCUCCUCUACGAUGUCUUGGCCGGUAACAGGAGUCCCUGGCACUGAAUUACAGUUGCAUCAUUGGAGUGGGUCUUGCCCCUUGGUGUGACAGAAAAUAGAGAAGGUGGGAUUUGCUCAUGUGUGGAUUUGAAGGUGCUUAAUGAAGCUACUGUAGCAGACAGAUUUUUAUGUAAUUUUACAUAAGCAACUGGUCUUGUAACCUGAAGGUCACUGGAUUGAUUCCCGGGUAGGACACUGCUGUUGUACCCUUAAGCAAGGUACUUCACCUGCAUUGCUUCAGUAUAUAUCCAGAAGUAUAAAUGGAUGUAAUGUAAAUGCUAUGUGAAAAGUUGUGUAAGUCGCUCUGGAUAAGAGCGUCUGCUAAGUUUCUGUAAUGUAAUGAUUUUUUUUCUGCAUCGGAAUGACAAAAUGGCUGCAGAUUUGCACAUUUUUUCACAUUUUGGACAUAAGACUGGUGUUUUGAUGUUUUUGCACUAAAAGACAUUUCAUCACACAUCCGGGUUUAUUAAUUUACUUAAACAUGAUUUUAUAUGUAUCUGACUGAAAAAAUUAUGAGCAUUUUUUGGAUGAAUUUAUUUCUCUAUUCUUUUAUGUAUUGUUUCUGGUUUUGUAUUAAAGAAAUAUGUAAUGAUAAAUGUCUUGAAACCCAUUGCUAUUAAUUUGCUUCAAAAUGGUUGUUGAAUAAAGAAUUGUUUCGCACUUCAUUUCAAUUUCAAUUUUUUUUCAUGAUAAAAAAACAAAUUCUUUUCAUGUUUGGCACCUGGUUGUAUUUUUUCGCAUUUUGGAUUAUAGUCAUAUGUGAUUUGUAGUUUGUGUUCUGAUAGAGAUAUUUCACAAAAAAAGUCUUCAAGCAAAUUGCUAUUGAUUUAUUUCACAAUUCUUUUUGAAUAAACUAGAUUGUGCGUGCAUCUGGAUGAAACAAUGAUAUCAGAAUUUUAGCAAUUGCAUUUUUUUAUUUUGCAAAGAAAGGUAUUUCCUAAUAAAAUCCUUAGAACAA